CAGGGAAGUCAGGGCUUUCCAGGUGCUCCGGCCAUGGGGGUUGUUGGACCUCCAGGCAAGAAGGGUGCCAGAGGGGAUAUUGGACCUGUCGGCCUCACAGGACCACAGGGAAACAAAGGAAAACAAGGAGAUAAAGGAGAGAAG